UACACCAAAGCAGCUCCGGGAUGGAUCUCGACUGCGGCGAUGUAGCUGUGCUCUGGUGGCUUCCGAAAGCGGAAUCCCUCUACUGCCUUGGUUGGGUCACAGCUGAGCUGCUCUGGAGGAAGGGCCAUCUCUCCGCUACGCGGGUCCCAAACCGUCGUCAGGUCAGAGCGUUGGGGUGGCCGUUACCUGCGGAUGGGAAGGAUCCAGCGCCUCAGCUUCUCUGGCUCUUUGAAAAUCGUGGAUCUUCCAGCAAAACGUCUUACUCCGCCCACCCCCUGCCGUUCUCUUCCUGCCACCAAAGCAAAGCUGAAUUUUGCCUCCUUUGCUGGGACGUUUGGAGGCGGCAUCGAUCAUGACGUCCAAUGGCACAUGGGCCCUAGCACCACAGGCACACCAAAAAGCACCUGAAAGUACCUACAGCUGCUUUCAACACCAACAAACUGCUUUUGGAAAUGUUUGGAUGGGUAGUGAUUUCCUUUCACCUCUUAUUAUUCUCCAUGGAUUUUCCCAAAGAUGACAUUUUGAACACUGGACGUCAAGAAUGAUGGGUCAGGAUUUUCUGGACCCUCUCGAAAGCUGUGAACAGUCCUACAGUUUCACAUCAAGCUGUGAAGUGCUAUACUGCUGAUAGUACACUAUACAUCAGAUGAAAAAUCAAAAUGCUCAGGGCAUGAGGCCCUCAGUGCUGAACUAUGACAUCAGGAGUUAAAAUCUGGAGAUAGUUAAGAAAGGCAUAACUGCACUUUUGGGUUUAUUUCCCACUCCAAGGACAGGAUACUGUUCGCACUCUUGCCCUUUUUGUUUUUAGAUGCAAGCCUGAAUCGAGCCAAAGAGAUCUUGUUUUGUUGAGAUG